UUGUCUCAAAGAUUAAUCCAUGCAUGUCUAAGUAUGAACUAACUCACACUGUGAAACUGCGGAUGGCUCAUUAAAUAAGUUAUAGUUUCUUUGAUGGUACCCUACUACUCGGAUAACCGUAGUAAUUCUAGAGAUAAUAUGUUCACCAAGUCCCGACUCUUUGGAAGGGAUGCAUUUAUUAGAUAAUAGACCAAUGUGGGCUUACCUUCUUCUCCGGUGAAUCAUGAUAACUCGACGGAUCGCACAACCCUUGUGCUGGCGAUGCUUCAUUAAAAUUUCUACUCUAUCAACUUUCGAUGGUAGGAUAGAGGCCUACCAUGGUGGUGUUGGGUGACGGAUAAUUAGGGUUUGAUUCUGGAGAGGGAGCCUGAGAAACGACUACCACAUCCAAGGAAGGCAACAUGCGCACAAAUUAACCAAUCCUGACAUGGGGAGGUAGUGACAAUAAAUAACAAUACUGGGCUCAUUGAGUAUGGUAAUUGGAAUGAGUACAAUCUAAAUCCCUUAACGAGGAUCCAUUGGAGGGAAAGUCUGGUGGAAGUAGCCAUGGUAAUUCCAACUCCAAUAGCAUAUAUUUAAGUUGUUGCAGUUAAAAAGCUCAUUGUUGGAUCUUGGGUCGUAAAGGUCAGUCCACCUACUCAGUGUGCACCUGCCCUUCUGUCCCUUUUUCUAGCGGCGUGCUCCUGGCCUUAAUUGGUUGGGUAGAUGGGAUCUAGGAUGCUCAUCUAGGACAUAUAAGAACCAAUUUUGGAUCCCGAGGGGCACCCAACCUUUUUUAGGUUGGAGGAUUUCGUUGUUUCCCUUUUCUUCUCUCUGAUUUGGUUGUUUUGAGGCUUCAUGAAGGCAUAUCCUUUCUAUCCAUGUCUUGUUUGUGCACGUCCUCCUAUUGCUUGAUACUUCGAGGGAAAGGUAUAAAAGAUA
rfam:Picea glauca, whole genome shotgun sequence.